rnacentral:rRNA from 1 species
AAUGGGGGAUAACGUAACGAAAGUUACGCUAAUACCGCAUAUGCCCUGAGGGGGAAAGGUGGGGAUCGCAAGACCUAUCGUUUUCGGAGUGGCCGAUAUCAGAUUAGCUAGUUGGUGGGGUAAAGGCCCACCAAGGCGACGAUCUGUAGCGGGUCUGAGAGGAUGAUCCGCCACACUGGGACUGAGACACGGCCCAGACUCCUACGGGAGGCAGCAGUGGGGAAUUUUGGACAAUGGGGGCAACCCUGAUCCAGCCAUGCCGCGUGAGUGAAGAAGGCCUUCGGGUUGUAAAGCUCUUUCAGCCGGAAAGAAAUCGCGCAGGCUAAUAUCCUGUGUGGAUGACGGUACCGGAAGAAGAAGCACCGGCUAACUACGUGCCAGCAGCCGCGGUAAUACGUAGGGUGCGAGCGUUAAUCGGAAUUACUGGGCGUAAAGCGUGCGCAGGCGGUUUUGUAAGACAGGCGUGAAAUCCCCGGGCUUAACCUGGGAACUGCGUUUGUGACUGCAAGGCUAGAGUGUGGCAGAGGGGGGUAGAAUUCCG